AAGCAUAGUUAAUGGCAGUUUCUUAAUAAAGAUCACGAGAAUUGUUGCUUGCAACUCUUAAAUGGGAUUAAACUAAGGAGGGCUUAAAGUCCGUCCAACUACUCAUCGAGUCACGGAUGAAGGCUCAAACCACUUAACAAUUCAGGAUUGGAACCAGAUCUGCUAGCCUGACAAAUCCUAACCACUUGCCCACCUUGGUCUCCAAAGCUUGAGUAUAUUAUUUGGUCAUCAUUAUGAGAAGUACGAAAAUGUAUAUAAUGUGGAUUCACAACUGCAGCAGUACUACACAAAUAAAAGUAUAAUUUGUAAUUACUACAGAACAAUUACAUUAUACAAAAAUAAGGUAGAAGGAAUCAUACGUUACCUAAUCCAAACUACAUUUUACACCACAAUUCAUUUUUUUAUUCGGUUAUUUGUCUUUUAACCUAUAAGACCCGGAACGCCGUGUAGUAAAUAUUACUGGAUCGACUUCUGGUUUUUAAAGUAAAUAACAUAUAAAAAAUAAAAUAAGUAUGAAAUUCAAGGUCAAUAACGAUGUAGGAAGUAUGAUAACAGUGAAAAAUAUGGUCCAAAGUGUGGGACUAGGAAUUAAAAAAAAAAUAAAUUACUCACAAAUUUACAAGAUUGCAUAUAUUCAAUGAACUGUCAUCCUCAUAUUCUCUCUCAAAGGUAUAUCAUUUAUAUAUAUUUUAAAUUUAACAGUUGUUCUUUUUUUUCAUGUUUACAUAUUGUAUAUAUAUAUGUAUACACAUACAUACAUAGCAUCAUCAAAAUGAAAGUAUUAUCAUACAUACCCCAUAUGUACUAUUAAUUGUUCUACAGUAGUUUCUUUUUUUCUUCUUUUUCAUCAAUUGUAAUAGCUAAGGUUUUUUUUUCGAUACACAUCUAUACACAUAUAAACAUGUAUAUAUGUAUAUAUACAUAUAUAGACGUAUGUAUAUAUGUAUGUUUAUAUAUUUAUAGCAUGUAUAAACCUAAGAGAAAUUAAAAACUACGCACUAAACUUAAUUAUUUAAAAAAUUAUUUAUAUUUAUUAUUUAAAAAAAAAAGAAAAGAAAAAUAAAAAGCUGAAAAUUAACACAGGAGUUUUGAAAUUUAGUAAACAAUUUUUUUCUUUUUACAUUAAAAUGGACAAUUUUCAGGGCACAGUCAAAUGAUAACAUUUUACAUCAAUUAGCAAAAAACAUUUUUCAUUUUGAGAGAGAGA